rnacentral:rRNA from 1 species
GACGAACGCUGGCGGCGUGCUUAACACAUGCAAGUCGAGCGGUAAGGCCCUUUCGGGGGUACACGAGCGGCGAACGGGUGAGUAACACGUGGGUGACCUGCCCUCAGCUCUGGGAUAAGCCUGGGAAACCGGGUCUAAUACCGGAUAUGACUCCAUGACGCAUGUUGUGGGGUGGAAAGCCUUGUGCGGCUGAGGAUGGGCCCGCGGCCUAUCAGCUUGUUGGUGGGGUGAUGGCCUACCAAGGCGACGACGGGUAGCCGGCCUGAGAGGGCGACCGGCCACACUGGGACUGAGACACGGCCCAGACUCCUACGGGAGGCAGCAGUGGGGAAUCUUGCGCAAUGCGCGAAAGCGUGACGCAGCAACGCCGCGUGAGGGAAGAAGGCCUGG